AAUGGUUUUCCUCAUCAUUCUCAUUUAUUAUGAAUUCAAGUAAAGAUUCCUCACCGCAUGCAUAAUUACUUUUAGAAUGAUUUUCGUAGAUUGUUUUGCUUCUUAAAUAUUUGCCUUCAAACCUUUUAACCGAAUCUAUUACGACGAAUGAUUUAUAACAAUUUAUCAUUCACUGCUACUAUUUAUGACCUUCUGUUCAAUCUGUACUGUGUUUUAAUAUACUAUUCAUAAAAUAUUAAAUGAUAAUUGCAUUAACUGUGAAACUCAAAGUUCCAACUUAGAGCCGUCGCCGUCCCAGUCAGUAGCGUAGAUAGAGGGGAGCCAGAGAGGGCGAAACCCCUCCCUCCCUGAAAUGGGAAAAUUUCUAGUCUUGUUGAAAAUAUAACAUACUUGUCUUUUUUAUCUUACAUUUGUUACAUUUGCGAGGAAAGGUUUUAAAGGUAAAUAUAACGAUUCCUGCCGUUGUUCUGAAUCAUGUAUAAAAUCGAAUACCAUUGAGUAGAUUUUCGAGAUACGUAAAAGCGAAUGUCCAAUAGAUAUUUGUAUACGUCAGCAAACAUUUCAGAAUGUUAGUGGUGACCGCUCUCAUUUCUUAUAGGACCAAAUAUACAAUUCUCUGCCAUAGUAAGCGUACCCACAAGAACGAGUUAAUAUAAGCAUAUGAUAUAAGAUACUUUGCACAUCAUAGAUCGCUGUUAGUUUUGUUCGCUACGCUUGUGUAAUCGAAUUGAAGGUCCGAUUGGGCCAGUGGCACUGUUACACUGAAAUAACUACAGUUCUUCAUAUCUCAAAACAGUGCUGUUUGAUUUAUAUAUGAUUUAUUUUUAGUAGAAAAAAAUGUAAAUGCAAGCAUAUUUAUCCCACCUCUCAGCCCAUAAUCUGGCAGGUGGUAUGAAAUCAUCGAAUUUUUACAUGCAGAUUCUAUGCCACCUUCCAGCUGUAUAUGGAGAAAAUCAUCCCACCUUCCAGCCUGUGUGCUGACAAGUGGGACAAAAUUUGAUCGCGUUUAAAUGAACAUUUUAUCCAAUCUUCCAGCUUCAUCCCUCCUUCAAGCGUUUUUAUGGAAGAGAAUCAUCCCACCUCAGUGAGAUCCCACACCUCUCAUGCAGCAAAACGAAAAACACAAAGGAUUCUACAAAAAAGUGGGAUCUCACUUCUCAGCUCACAGGCUGGAAGGUGGGAUGAUUUUCUUCAUAUAAACAGGCCCUAGAACAGAAUGAAAAGAAACUUGACCGGC